CUCAAGGUAUUGAGAAUUUGAGACAUACAUUAUUAGUGAUUAAUUUCUAAAUGCUCUCGAUCGAAGGAUCGUCAUGGAGAACAGUGAUCAAUCCAUUCAAGAUCGGUGCACGGAUCAUCUGCUUUUGAGGUAGAUGAGUCUCGAGUCUGUGGUAUAGAGAUACUAGGAUGAGAGUACAGGUGGUUGUUAGAGAACACUUGCAUUGAGCGUGACAACACGAGAAAUUAUUUAGAUGUCUACU
rnacentral:lncRNA from 1 species